GCCGGGCAUGGUGGCGCACACCUGUAGUCCCAGCUACUCAGGAGGCUGAGGCAGGAGAAUCGCUUGAACCUGGGAGGCGGAGCUUGCGGUGAGCCGAGAUCGCGCCACUGCACUCCAGCCUGGGCGACAGAGCGAGACUCUGUCUCAAAAAAAAAAAAAAGUAUAUUUUAUUAAUACUCUUUUUUUGAGACGGAGUCUCGCUCUGUCGCCCAGGCUGGAGUGCAGUGGCGCGAUCUCGCGUCACCGCAACCUCCGCCUCCCAGGUUCACGCCAUUCUCCUGC
rnacentral:SRP_RNA from 1 species